AUUGAACGCUGGCGGCAGGCCUAACACAUGCAAGUCGAGCGAGCGGCGGACGGGUGAGUAAUGUAUGGGGACUGCCCGAUAGAGGGGGAUAACUACUGGAAACGGUGGCUAAUACCGCAUACUAUCGGAUAACCCAUAUGGGAUUAGCUAGUAGGUGGGGUAAAGGCUCACCUAGGCGACGAUCUCUAGCUGGUCUGAGAGGAUGAUAGGCCACACGGGGACGGAGACACGGCCCAGACUCCCACGGAGGCAGGAGUGGGGAAUAUUGCACAAUGGGUGCAAGCCUGAUGCAGCCAGGCCGGGUGUAUGAAGAAGGACUUCGGGUUGUAAAGUACUUUCAGCGGGGAGGCGUUACCCGCAGAAGAAGAACGGGCUAACUCCGUGCCAGCCGCCGCGGUAAUC
rnacentral:rRNA from 1 species